GGGCCCGCACAAGCGGUGGAGCAUGUGGAUUAAUUCGAAGCAACGCGAAGAACCUUACCUAGCCUUGACAUCCUUGGAACUCUCCCGAAAAGGAGAGGUGCCCUUCGGGGAAUCAAGUGACAGGUGCUGCAUGGCUGUCGUCAGCUCGUGUCGUGAGAUGUUGGGUUAAGUCCCGCAACGAGCGCAACCCUUGUCUUUAGUUGCCAGCAUUAAGUUGGGCACUCUAGAGAGACUGCCGGUGUCAAGCCGGAGGAAGGUGGGGACGACGUCAAGUCAUCAUGGCCCUUACGGCUAGGGCUUCACACGUGCUACAAUGGACGGUACAAAGGGUCGCGAAGCCGCGAGGUGGAGCCAAUCCCAAAAAGCCGUUCUCAGUUCGGAUUGGAGUCUGCAACUCGACCCCGUGAAGCUGGAAUCGCUAGUAAUCG
rnacentral:rRNA from 1 species